ensembl:lncRNA
UUCCCAUAUUUACUUAGAAUUUAUUAAACACCUUUUUUAAAUAGAAAAGGACAAUUCAGGAAGAACAGAAAUGCAUAACACAGAAUAAGUGAAACUGCAGCAGCAGCUUAUUACAACCACUACAAAAGGGAUGUGCAGGUGACUGCUGCAUGUGAUGGAGUACCCAAAUACUAGCUGGUGCUGCUUCUUUUCCACAUUUGAAUGAUUUACAGCAGAAACUCCAGAAAUACUCUCCUGCAGCUUGACAUCUGCUUAAUUGAACAGGAAAGCAUUGCACUGAGCUAGUAAGUUGAACACAGGAUGAUAGGCACUCAUAGGUAACGUGCACAAAGCAAUCUGGAAAUCGUGGCUAUUGGCUGCCAUUCUCUGUUGCUAAGUACAGUACAGCAUAGCUGUUAUGGAGCUAACUGGUGCAGGGCUUCCUCAACCAAGUAAUGUCCAGGUUGGUCUUGUACAAGAAACAGCACUUAUGCUUUGUCAUUUCCCUGCUGUGACGUCUCUGAUGUCCAUGACUGGGUGCGGAAGCUGGUAUUUGGCAAGCUGCACUACAAAAGAAACCUGCUAAUUCUGAAAAGUGGUGUUUUGGGCUCAGCUGUCACUCCUGGAUGAAAUACGUUCUACCUUGCAGAGUAGACUAAUAAGACUGCCCGUGCAAUGCGUAAGGUUUUCUUUUGUCCUUUAUAAAACUGAAAGGACUGAAAUAAUAGUUCAGGAGAAGAUUUUGAUGUCCUCGUUCCAGCGUGCCUUGGCAGUCCCCACACUGUGAAUAGUUUCUCCAGCUCCAGUGGAAUGCCUCUUGGAUGGAAGAUAGCCCUCACAGUGAAUUCAGCUGCUCUCCUGCUGCAGGAAUGUGCGGGCACACUGUUACACAUUAUAGAGGGAAAAUUACACAAACCUGUCCAAUGACAAGUGUAUAGCGUCGACAAUGUAUCCAAGAAAAGCUAUUGUGUGCAUUAAAGAAUGUGUCUUUUUGGCACUUGCUGAAAUAAGAAGAGGCAAGACUUUGCAGUCUGAGCUCUUCUUAAACCUUUACACGAUGAGGCAGAGCAAGUUUCUGAGCACUUCUGCAGCACUUCCCUGUACCAGUCCCCUUCCCUGCUCCCCUCGCCGACAAUUCUGUAGAGCAUUCGCUCCAGUUCAGCGGCUGCUGACAAAUGCUGCACCUUUCUGCUCCAGCUCCUUGUUGCUUACACACGGGAAUCAAACAAUCAGAAGAACCUCAAGCUUAUUUUCAUCUAAGUAACUUGUUUAUUUCUAAACCUACAAAGCAAAUGCACUCUUUGCUCUGCAAUUUAAUGUCUGCCUCUUUUUCCGCCAAGGUUGAUUUGGUAUUUCCUUUACAAACCUCAAUUGUUGGCAUUAAGAACUUGGCCAUUUCAACUCUACUGGACUAAAACUUGGCAACCAAAUUGUGAGCUAGCAGCUAAAUUGUUUCACUAAAAUUUCUUUCAUUUUUAUCAUUAAUCUGUGGCCAAUCUUUAUCUCUGCAGUUCCCUCCACACUUCUAAGUCCCCCGAAGGUGAAUCGCUGGAAGUAACUUGGAAGUGCAGCUGACUGCCCGUACAAACACUUAAAUAAGAGACCCAGAACCCGAGCUCCAUAACAAAAUGCAGUUUCACUCUGUUUUUCUGCCUGCAGGCAGCCUUUCUUACACUUCUGCAUAUCAAGGAAGUGUCCCAGGAGAAGCCACAAGAUAGAGUCCUUAACAAAGCAGGAAGAGCAGAAAACCACAAAGGCACAUAGCAAGUCACUAUUAGGUCAAGGCCUGUGCUCACCAAUCCUGUGCAGAACUGGAGACGCAGUGAGCAUUCCAUAGCAGCCAGUGGUCAGAGGGCCGGCAAGGAUGGGAGUGGAGGAAUGGCUGUGGAAGAUGAGAGUGAAUAACCCAUGCCGUGUGGAUGCUGGCAGCCCUGAAACCAUUAGGAACAGGGCUCAGCAGCCUGCUCCCUGGUGCUGUGCCAUCAGAAGAGAGAUUUUGGUCUGCUGUUCAUCUCAAGAAGUGAAAUGACAGCAGAACUGCCGAUGUGAUGCAAGAUGCGAUUGGGAUAUAUGAUUUUUUUUCCAGGGGAAAUGCUUGAUUCUGCCAGGAUCUGGUGCAGGGAAUAUUUUGCAAUGAUGUGGACUCAAAUCUAGGCAACCACUGAGCAGAUCUAAAUGGCCAAGUGAAGGAGAAUCCAGUGUUCUUUCACUGUCAUGGGUCAGAAAAGCAGACCAUCUUCAACACGCAUUCAGCCCUUCAACUGCCUCACGUCCUUCAGUUCAUGGCACAGCCUGAGGCUGAGUGGGGAUCACCAGGUCAGCUCAGGCCUUUAACAGAGACCUCUCUUUGACUCAGGCAAGCCUAGCUUCUAAAAUCAGGAAUUUUAAAAACUAUUGGCAAAAAUCAUCUGAUUUGAGCUUGCUAUGUUAAAUCACAUCUAAGGAAUAUUUAGGCUUGGUGAAGUGUGUUUAACUUCAUCAUAUGUGAAUGCUGAAUCCAAAAUACACUAAUUUCUAAGAACCACAGUAAUUAAACUGCCUUGCCAAUAGUAUGGCAAGGAUCAUUUGGUUAAGCCACCAUCUAGCAUAGACAUUGAAAGCCCUAAGAUGUAUGUGGAAAGAUAAAUAUCUAUGCUUAGCUUUAUCUUUAAGAUGUUUUGAUAGUGACUAUUCUGUGACACAAUAUUCAUAACUUGUGGACACAUUGUGAAGCAGUUUUCCAAUAUCAAGUCCAUCACUGCAUUUCUGGGAGGAUGCAACUGUUUCCUUUUUAAAGCCACCAAAGAAACCAUCAGAAGAAAAGAUUUGUGCUCAUCUUUCAUUAACCUGACAUACAAAAGUAAGUUUGAUUUUAGGAAGAAUUUUGCCCACAAAGCAUCUCGUCAUAUAAAUACUUAGUACCAGGUUUUCUCUCUUUCUCCCAAGUCCAGGGACCCUUGCUCCUUGAUCAAAGACAGCAGCAUGAGCAAGCCAUGAAUCAGAUUGACAUCAUAAUCCCUAUUUUCCUGCACAAUGAAUUCAAGGUAAAACACAAUUUUCCUUCCAAUCCUAUUCUUCUGUAACAUUAGUAUGGACAUAACUCUAAGAAGCAAUUUGUAACCUAAUGGACAGUGUACCUAAGCCCACUUCAGUGCUGGUGAAAGCCAGCCCCCACAGGAGGGUGACACCGGGUGUGGUGUGCACCGACUAGGCACUCACUCAGCCCUCUUCCCAUGCAAGCAUGUCCCGGUGGCAUCCCCACUGCACGGGGAGCUCCUUUGAUGUGGACAGUACUGUGUCAGCCAGUGCUGCUGAAGGGGAAGACAAUCAAUGAGCGUGGCCAAGCAUGUUUGUCCAGAGUAAGCUAGUAACUAAAAUUUGAUCCAAGCAAAGAGAAAACAAACAAACAAAACAACAACAACAAACAAGAAAGAACAAGAAAAAUAAACAAAGCACUUGUUGGGAGAGAAUCCUGGGAAUCAGUUGGGUGUGCUCAAAAAGGCAAAGUAAAGGGUAAUAGUAUUUAGUUCUCUUCCUUAUAAAGCUUUGGGUGACAAGUGCCCACCCUUCCCAUCUCUGCCUGCUGCCCCACACUGAGGCCGUGCAGUCUGUGGGAGCUUUACUUGCUGUGUGGGAGCGCAGAAGUCAAAAGGAAGGCUUCCAGAUGUGGUCAGUCAUGAGAUUCCCAGGAGCUGGUGCAGAGCCUGCUGACUGCUGGCACGUUACUGACACAGGUAAUUGCAGCUUUUAAAGGAAGGCCUCUUCUGUAACUGCAAAUUUUGGAGCGGAAGGAGAUAUCCAGAGGCCUGUGGUUUGAAUUCUGGAUAACACCUCCACUUUUGGUCUGCAAGCAGUGAAAGGCCACUGGGGCUAAUGGUGCUCCUUACAUUCUCCCUUAAUGGCAUGGGAAAAAACGUUCUAAGCUUCAUGUGCCAAGAUGGAUGACAUUAAUUUUCUGAUCCCAACUGCAGCAGAUUCCCUUGGGAGAGUGGCACAGCAUCUGACUCAUCUCUGGUGGGGAGUGCUGCUAAGUGACCACAAGUUAAAUAAACUCAAAUUCCACAGUCAUGACCGAGGGGUAAUGAAGAAAGUUCCCUGCAAGUAGUUCCUGCAGGUGUUCGACAUCUGGAUCUCUCUCAGCUCCCAGGACCUGCUCAAAACAGAGUAAAUUAUUGUGUUUGGGGAUAAAAUAAGAAAUCCAAAGAUCUUUAUGAUGAACAAACAUUGUAGAUGCUGGCUACUAUCGUUCCCC